GCGCUGUCCACCCUACUGGCUCCCAGGCUCGGGAGCCACUCAGGAGAGAAGAGAGGAAGCAUUUCGGAAGGCGGGCAUCAUCAUGGGACCAUAAAUUGACCAGGCAUGGAGCUCUUUCCCAUGGACAUCUUUGUGUAGGCUCUUGGCCCCGGGGCUGGCUGCAGAGCUGCGGGGCCCAGCAGGCUGUCUGUGUGAAGCUCUGCAGAGCAGUCUUGCAGGGAAAGACUGUGGAGACUAAUGGAGAUGUGCCAGCAGAUGGGUGGUGGGCCUGGCCCCGGCCGGGGUCCUUGAUGACACAACCCAGGCUGGAAGUGUGGGCUGGCUCCCGCCCCGCAGAGGAGCGCGGCGUGGGCUCCUCUAAGGAGGGAGUUCUUGAGGCUCCUCUUGACUCACUCCAGGAGUAAUGUCCAGGUGAGGACUGAUGAGACAGGGAGUGGCAAUUAAAGAAGGGUCCAGGCACUCACCCCCUCCUGCUGGGAUGGCUGGAGAAGAGAGGACAGACAGAGCAGAGUGAUGGACAUGCUGAGCUGUGGAACAGACAGCCAGUCCCUGGAGGGGCUACAGUGGGCCUCACCUACACAGAAAAGAGCCAUGGACCGGGAGGCAGAGGCAGAGGUCCAGCUACAACUAGAUCCAGAGCUAAACUGAUGUCAUCAAGUCUCAGUUUGAAUGAUCCUCUCAGCUCCACUGUUCUUCAUCUUAACUUAAUUCCAAAGUCAUUCCACAGUGGUGAUAUAGCUGCCAGCAGCUACACAAACCCAAAGGCAACAGCCCACAUCCUUCUCCCAGAAGUCCCAUAAAGAGUCUCACUGCUUUUCAUUGGUUCUGAUUGUGGCCGACACUCACCCUUCAUCCAAUCUCUGUGGCCAGGAGAAUCCAGCGCUCUGAUUGGUCAGGCCUGGCUCCAUGGCCACCUGAAGUCCGGGGUGGAGUUAACUCCACCUGCAACACAUGGACUGAUGGAAAAGGGAAAAAGAUCUGGAAAUCCAAAAAGCUUGGAGAGCAAAUUGCAUUUGGUUUCUAUUACACAGUGCAGCAGAUUUAAUUAUUCUUGAAAAAAUUUUUUAUCUUCAAAGGGACUCAAGCUGAAGACCUCCUUUAGGUAUGUCGUCGGUAGAUACCUACCUCCAGUGGCUGGCUUGUUUUAGCCUCAUGGUCAAGAUGAGGAAUCUCAGAGUGGACUGCAGCCCAUGCUCUUUUCCAGAGCGUGUCAGAGGACAGGCUGUCACGAAGGCAGGCUUCACAGUGCCGGUUUCCUGAGACCACGGGAAAUGUGGCUGAAGGGGUCAUUGAUGUCUAACCUCCUGUGUUAUUCUGGGUGCAGUUCUAAUGCCCAGACCAUUGGUGUCCCCUGGAAUGUGCCCUUGGGUCAGAGCAAACUUUAAGUUAUUGUUAAUGAGGUUGUGCAUAUUUGCAUAAACUUUCAAGGUGAAAUAUUUCAGGGUUUUUCUUGUGGCUGGCAUUUGUUUUUCUUUCUCUAUCUUUUCACUUACCACAGUUGAUUCAAACCCCUUAAGCCUGGAAAGGACAUAGGAGCAAAGGGGGACCCCAUAACUGGGGGGCAUGCAAUAAUGGAGGCGUUGAGAGCAAGCCAGAGCUCUGGCCAAAGGUGGUCAGACAAUGGUCCAGAUCCCCGUUAUUAAGCUUCCCCAGGCUUCAUUUGUGGGAGUGGUGGCGGAUUGAAUAUUCCCCCCCCCCCCCAGAAUUCAUAUCUGCCUAGAACCUCAGAAUGUGACAUCAUUUGGAAAUAGAGUCUUUGCAGAUAUAUUAGUUAAGAUGAGAUCAUGCUAGAUUAAGGGUGGGCCCUAAAUCCAAAGGAGAGGAAUCUCAUUCUGUCUCCCAGGCUGGAGUGCAGUGGCAAGAUGUCAGCUCGCUGCAACCUCCACCUCCCGGGUUUGACACACACACACAGGGGAAGAGGGCCUGUGAAGAUGGAGGCAGAGAACGGAGUGACGCAGCGACAAGCCAAAGGGCACUGAGGAUGGCCAGAAGCCGCCAGAGGCUGGAAAAGCAAGAGCAAAGUCUCCCUGGAGCCUGCGGAGAGCCUGGUUCUGCCGAUACCGAUACCGACUUCAGAGUCGUAGACUCCAGAACUGUGAGGGAAUACAGUGCUGUUGCUUUAAGCCAUAGCAUUUGUAUUCAUUUGUUACAACAACCCUAGGAAACCAAUCAGGGGCUCUUAAAGGAAUCCAAGGCCUGAGGCAAAACAUGGGUCAGAGAAUGGAAAUGUGGACACAGAAGUCCCCGUGGAAAUGCCCUGAUGAGACUUGUUUGAAGGAUGAACUUCUGCUCCAAGAUAAUGUGGGCCUGUCCAUGCCACAUUCUUUAUUAGGCCACCAUAUUGGCUCUGCAGUUUGCACCCCCAAGGGGAGAGAAGGGACCGGAAUCCUGUCUAUCUCUCUCCACUGAGCCAAAUGUGCUGGUACAAAGCCUCAUUCCCCUGGAGAAAAGGGUUUCCUUUUCUUGGCUUGAAGGUGCUAACUCUCCUGCCUGUUCCUUAAGCUGUGUGCUGGGGGAGUGAGGCUGUACAGAGGGGCCACCACCAUCUAAUUAACAUGAUGGGCCGGGCACAGUGGCUCAUGCCUGUAAUCCUAGCACUUUGGGAGGCCGAGGCGGGUGGAUCACUUGAGGUCAGGAGUUCAAGACCAGCCUGGCCAACAUGGUGAAACCCUGUCUCCACUAAAAAUACAAAAAUUAGCCGGGCGUGGUGGCAUGUGCCUGUAAUCCCAGCUACUCAGGAGGCUGAGGCAGGAGAAUCACUUGAACCUGGGAGGCGGAGGUUGCAGUGAGCUGACAUUGUGCCACUGCACUCCAGCCUGGGUGACAGAAUGAGAUUCCGUCUCAAAAAAAAAAAAAAUUCACAUGACAGUACCAUAAAGACUAGCGGCCCUGAUCCAGCUGCACACAGCCCUCACUCACAUUGCCCAACCACAGAAUCCCUCAUUUCUUCCACAGGCACCCACACCCAUUCCCCCACCCACACACACGCUUUCAAUAUUCAGCCUCUCCUCAUUUUUCAAUGGUUCCAUAUUUGCAAAUUUGCCUACUUGCUAAAAUUUAUGUCUGCCCCCCAAAUCCAUACUCAGGACACACUCAUGGUCAUUUGCAGACAUGUGCAGAGUGACAAAAAAUUUGGGGUCUCUGGAUGUGCAUGUUUAUAUCUGAGAUCAAACAAGGAAAUGCUCUGCUCUCUUUUUUUCUUACUCUAAAUAAGAGUCCUUUUCAUAGUUUAUGUAGUGCCAUGUUUUUCGCAUUUUUGUGCUUUUUGUUGGUGAUUUUGCCAUUUAAAAUGGUCCCCAAGGGUAACACUGAAGUGCUAUCUAGUGUUGCAUAGCCUGAGAAGGAUGCAAUGCAACUUCCAGAGAAAAUAUGUGCGUUAGGUAAGCUCUGCUCAGGUGUGUCACACUGCAGGUGGCCAUGAGUUCAAUGUACUAAUGAAUCAGCAAUACAUAUCAUAGGAAGUGUCCUUAAACAGAAAGAGAAAUAAAACUGUCAGAGGCGUUCAAACUAGAGUGACUCCAUCUUGAAUAGGGGCUUGGUAAAAUAAGGCCGAUGCCUGCUGGGCUGCAUUCCUAGGUGUUUAGGCAUUCUUAGUCACAGGAUGAAACAGGAGGUCAACAGGACUGAUAUCACAAGAUACAGGUCACAAAGACCCUGCCGAUAAAACAGGAGGCCGUAAAGAAGCCAGUCAAAACCCAUCAAAACCAAGAUGGUGACAAAAGCGACCUCUGGUCAUCCUCACUGUUCAUUAUAUGCUAAUUGUAAUACAUUAGCAGGCUGGGUGCAGUGGCUCACACCUGUAAUCCCAGCACUUUGGGAAGUUGAGGCAGGUGGAUAGCUUGAGCCCAGGAGUUUGAGACUAGCUUGGGCAACAUGGCAAGACCCUGUCUCUACAAAAACUACAAAAAUUAGCUGGGUGUGGUAGCACAUGCCUGUUGUCCCAGCUACUAGGGAGGCUGAGAUGAGAGGAUCGUUUGAUCCUGGGGGUCAGAGGUUGCAGUGAGCCAAAACUGCACCACUGCACUCUAACCUGGGUGACAGAGUGAGACCCUAUCUCAAAUAAUAAUAAUAAUAAUAAUAAUAAUAAUAAUAAUAAUAAUAAUAAUAAUAAUACAUUAGCAUGCUAAAAGACACUCUCACCAGUGCCAUGACAGCUUACAAAUGCCAAGGCAAAGGCUGGAAGCUACCCUAUAUGGUCUAAAAGGGUGAGGGACCCUCAGUUAUGGGAACUCCUCUCCCCUUCCUCGAAAACCCACGAAUAAUCCACCCCUUGUUUAGCAUAUAAUCAAGAAAUAACCAUAAGUUUACUUAGUCGAGCAGCCUCUGCCACUGCUGUGGCUGUGGAGUAGACAUUCUUCUGUUUCUUUACUUCUCUAAUAAACUUGCUUUUGUUUUACUCUGUGGUCUCGCUCGAAUUCUGUCUUGCGUGAGAUCCAAGAACUCUCUCUUGGGGUCUGGAUUGGGACCUCUUUCUUGUAAAAAAACAAGGUUAUGAAUCAAUCAGUUGAUGAAGAUGUUGUGACCAGAGGCUCAUAGGAGCAUAACCCUCUAUUUCCCCUAGGAGCAAUGGUUCAGUAUUCGCCAUUCCAGCAUUCCAGAAAGUUUAUGGAACAUCACUAUAUCCAAUAAUGAGAAUUGCUUAUAUUUUUUCACCCAGGCCCGGUGAGGGGAA
rnacentral:lncRNA from 1 species